rnacentral:rRNA from 1 species
CCUACGGGUGGCUGCAGUGGGGAAUAUUGGGCAAUGGGCGCAAGCCUGACCCAGCAACGCCGCGUGAAGGAAGAAGGCUUUCGGGUUGUAAACCUCUUUUGUUAGGGACGAAGCAAGUGACGGUACUUGACGAAUAAGCCACGGCAAACUACGUGCCAGCAGCCGCGGUAAUACGUAGGGGGCAAGCGUUAUCCGGAUUUACUGGGUGUAAAGGGCGUGUAGGCGGGACUGCAAGUCAGAUGUGAAAACCACGGGCUCAACCUGUGGCCUGCAUUUGAAACUGUAGUUCUUGAGUACUGGAGAGGCAGACGGAAUUCCUAGUGUAGCGGUGAAAUGCGUAGAUAUUAGGAGGAACACCAGUGGCGAAGGCGGUCUGCUGGACAGCAACUGACGCUGAGGCGCGAAAGCGUGGGGAGCAAACAGGAUUAGAUACCCCUGUAGUC